rnacentral:rRNA from 1 species
CCUGACUGCUAUCGGAUUGGUACUAAGCCAUGUGAGUCGUUGUAGUAAUACAAGGCAUACGGCUCAGUAACACGUAGUCAAUCUAACCUAUGGACGGGGAUAACCUCGGGAAACUGAGGAUAAAACCCGAUAGAUCAUUAUGCCUGGAACGGUUUAUGGUCCAAAUGAUUCGUCGCCGUAGGGUGGGACUGCGGCCUAUCAGCUUGUUGGUGAGGUAAUGGCCCACCAAGGCUAUUACAGGUACGGGCUCUGAGAGGAGAAGCCCGGAGAUGGGUACCGAGACACGGACCCAGGCCCUAUGGGGCGCAGCAGGCGAGAAACCUUUGCAAUGUGCGCAAGCACGACAAGGUUAAUCCGAGUGUUUCCUGCUAAAGGAAUCUUUUGUUAGUUGUAAAACCACUGAUGAAUAAGGGGUGGGCAGGUUCUGGUGUCAGCCGCCGCGGUAAGACCAGCACCUCAAGUGGUCAGGAUGAUUAUUGGGCCUAAAGCAUCCGUAGCCUGUUCUGUAAGUUUCCGGUUAAAUCCAUUAGCUCAACUAAUGGGCUGCCGAAAAUACUGCAGAACUAGGGAGUGGGAGAGGUAGACGGUACUUGGUAGGAAGGGGUAAAAUCCUUUGAUCUAUUGAUGACCACCUGUGGCGAAGGCGGUCUACCAGAACACGUUCGACGGUGAGGGAUGAAAGCUGGGGGAGCAAACCGGAUUAGAUACCCGGGUAGUCCCAGCUGUAAACGAUGCAGACUCGGUGAUGCCCUGGCUUGUGGCCAGUGCAGUGCCGCAGGGAAGCCGUUAAGUUUGCCGCCUGGGAAGUACGUACGCAAGUAUGAAACUUAAAGGAAUUGGCGGGGGAGCACCACCAAGGGGUGAAGCCUGCGGUUC